rnacentral:rRNA from 1 species
CCUACGGGUGGCAGCAGUCGAGAAUUUUUCUCAAUGGGCGAAAGCCUGAAGGAGCGACGCCGCGUGGAGGAUGAAGGCUUUCGGGUUGUAAACUCCUGUCAUUUGAGAACUAGUAUCAGAAGAGGAAGGGACGGCUAACUCUGUGCCAGCAGCCGCGGUAAUACAGAGGUCCCAAGCGUUGUUCGGAUUCAUUGGGCGUAAAGGGUGCGUAGGUGGCGUGGUAAGUCGGGUGUGAAAUUUCGGAGCUCAACUUCGAAACUGCAUUCGAUACUGCCAUGCUUGAGGACUGGAGAGGAGACUGGAAUUUACGGUGUAGCAGUGAAAUGCGUAGAGAUCGUAAGGAAGACCAGUGGCGAAGGCGGGUCUCUGGACAGUCCUGACACUGAGGCACGAAGGCCAGGGGAGCAAACGGGAUUAGAUACCCUUGUAGUC